rnacentral:ribozyme from 1 species
GAAAACGGUUUGAAAUACCAAGCAUCUCCACGCCUUAACUAAAAUUCUUUCAUCCAAUUGUUCAGCAGCCUCCUCAAGUACAGCACGUUGAAACAUUUUC